rnacentral:lncRNA from 1 species
GGUGUCUUCAGGUUAGACGCAGCGCCCAGGGGCGGCUGAAGAAACGUGAGGGGUGUGGACAAAUCCUCCAAGAUUUAACUUCCAAGAAAACCGGCGGCGGAGCGGGUGGAGGAGGCGAGGAUGUGUGGCCAAUGCACGCGGAGUGCAAGGCAAGCCGCCUAGUUGGGAGCCGCAAGAGCCUGCCUGGUGUGGCAGGCACACGGAACCCAAUCCCUGUCUGUCCGCUGCGGCCUGGGAGGGGAGCGCCGGCCUCACCAGAGGAAGGAGCACGAGGGGAGGAGUUCCGAGAGGAAAUAAUUAGUGAAAUAUUUGCAGAAGAUGCUGGGAUGUGGAUUUAAUUCCGGAUGGACAGUGGUGCUUCUGAUUCCCUCAGUCUGUUUCCCCACCCACGAUCUCCUCUUUCCUUGGCCUAGACACACCAAAAAUAAUUCAAUAAAAUAAAAAUAAAAAUUUAAAAAUC